UCCACCAGUCAAACCACUGAUACAUCUGGAGAAACCUCGUCUCUCAGAUCCGUCCCUACAGCCAGAUUCAGCAGUAACAGCUUCUUGUGUUGUUGAAGCUGCGCCCAACUCCAGAGUCUCAUGGUUUCUGAAUGGAAAUAUGGAGAAAAAAGCCAAUGCGGAGACAACAGACCAACGACCCAACAGCAACACUCGGCUCAUUGUUAGCAAACUGACUCUGCCAGCAAGAGAAUGGGAACAACAUCAGAAUGUAACAUGCAGAGUUAAACAGCCAUGUGAUGAUCUACCUGAGGAGAAAACUGUUAAUGUUGUAGAAAUCUCUCCACCAACCAUCCACCUGGUGGAACAUGGUCAAUCUAUAAUGUGUGUCAUUGAAGACUUCUGCCCAAAGCCCCUCAGUAUCAAGUGGAAAAAGGAUGACCGUGAAGUCAGAGGCCGAGACUGGAAAACCACAGAAAAUGACUCGGGUUCUUACAGAGCGGUCAGUGUCCUCGAAGCAAAUCUGACGUCUUCGAGCCCGGGAACCAAAUACACCUGUGAAGUCACACAUGAGGGCAAAACAUACAAGAAGGCUCUGUCACCUGGAGCUCAGUUCUCUCUGAAAAUCAAUCCACCACAAGCGAAGCACCUUUUUAUAAACAAAAAAGCAGUAAUGGAGUGUGUCAUAACUGGUGAUAAUCAGGAGGAGGUGGAAGGAGCAACAGUGUCAUGGACAGUUGGAGGGAACCCAGCAACUCGUGAUGUUCGUGUUGGUGGUGUUUACACAGGCAGGAUCAGCAUUUACCAAAACUAGCACACUGACCCUUGAAGAGUCAAAAUGGUUUUCAGGUACAGAAGUGAUUUGCUCCACCUUAAGAGACCAAACACCAAUCUCUGACAAAAUCAGUGUUA